AGUGUGUGUGUGUGUGUGUGUGUGUGUGUGCGCGCGCGUGCGCGUGCACACACACACACACACACACACGCUCU